rnacentral:misc_RNA from 1 species
CACCUCUAGGAUAGAGGAAGGAUAAAGCAUCAGGAUGAUGUAAAGGACACCGCUUAAGGAUAAGUGAAGAGAGUUAGCGACGGACUGUUAACGGAUCAGGAUUAGAUCAUGGACACCGCUAGGAUAGCGAUGGAAGGGAUACGCUGACGGAUUUCAGCAUACUAUCAAGGAAUUGAUGCACGGAGCCCCAUUAGUAGCCGGACUGCUGCGAGUAGAGUUAUGACCCCAUUAGGCGAA